UACGUAGGCAGCGAGCGUUGUUCGGAGUUACUGGGCGUAAAGCGCACGUAGGCGGAUUGCUAAGUCAGGGGUGAAAUCCUGGAGCUCAACUCCAGAACUGCCUUUGAUACUGGCGACCUUGAGUCCGGGAGAGGUGAGUGGAACUGCGAGUGUAGAGGUGAAAUUCGUAGAUAUUCGCAAGAACACCAGUGGCGAAGGCGGCUCACUGGCCCGGUACUGACGCUGAGGUGCGAAAGCGUGGGGAGCAAACAGG
rnacentral:rRNA from 1 species